rnacentral:ncRNA from 2 species
CCCGUCCAACACGGGAGCGCACCCAAGUGCGCUGAGAGGACGGCUGGAUGGGCCGUCGACCGUACGAACCUGACCGGGUAAUGCCGGCGUAGGGAGAUCUGUUGAUGACUGUU